rnacentral:rRNA from 1 species
AGGGUUUAUGGUGGAUGCCUUGGGACUGGAUGACGAUGAAGGACGUGCAAAUCUGCGAAAUGCUACGGGGAGCUGAUAAGAGGCAAUUGAUCCGUAGAUCUCCGAAUGGGGGAACCCACUUAAUAGAGAUAUUAAGUAUUGUUAAUUGAAUUCAUAGAUUAACAAAGAAAUACCUGGUGAAGUGAAACAUCUCAGUAGCCAGAGGAAAAGAAAACAAAGUGAUUCCGUCAGUAGCGGCGAGCGAAAGCGGAACAGACUAAACCUAGUUUAGACUAGGGGUUGUAGGACUACAUUGUGGUAGUUAUUAUUGAUAGUAGAAGUUGUUGGAAAGCAACGCAAUAUAGUGUGAUAGCCACGUAUACGAAAUUAUUAAUACACCUAGUAGUAUCCUGAGUAUGACGGGACACGUGAAAUCUUGUCAGAAGCCACCCGGACCAUCGGGUAAGUCUAAAUACAAACCAGUCACCGAUAGCAAAUAGUACCGCGAGGGAAAGGUGAAAAGAACCCAGUGAUGGGAGUGAAAUAGAAUCUGAAACCAUAUACCUACAACGAGUUAGAGCACAUUAAUGUGUGAUAACGUGCGUUUUGAAGUAUGAGCCGGAGAGUUAUUGUAGGCAUGCAAGGUUAAGCUUUAGCAGUGGAGCCGUAGGGAAACCGAAUCUUAAUAGGGUGUUUAGUAUGUCACAAUAGACCCGAAACGGGUUGAUCUAGAUAUGAGCAGGUUGAAGUUAAAGUAACAUUUAAUGGAGGACCGAACCCACUUUCGUUGAAACGACAGGGGAUGACUUGUGUCUAGGGGUGAAAUUCCAAUCGAAAUCCGUGAUAGCUGGUUCUCGUCGAUAUAGUUUUACGACUAGCGUUGGAUUAUGAUUAUGUGGAGGUAAAGCGCUGACUGACUGAUGGCCCUGUCUCAGGGUACUGAUUUCAAUUAAACUCUGAAUGCCAUAUAAUUUACUCCAGCAGUUAGACUGUGGGGGAUAAGCUUCAUAGUCAUGAGGGAAAGAGCCCAGAUCGUUAACUAAGGUCCCCAAAAUAUGCUAAGUGGAAAAGGAUGUUGGAUGUCACAAACAUCAAGGAUGUUGGCUUAGAAGCAGCCAUCGUUUAAAGAGUGCGUAAUAGCUCACUUGUCGAGAUAUCCUGCGCCAAAGAUUCAACGGGGCUUAAGCAUAUUACCGAAGUUACGGGAUAAUUUUAUCGGUAGACGAGCGUUGUAUAUAGGUUGAAGGUAGAGUGUGAACACUAUUGGACAGUAUACAAGUGAGAAUUCCGGUGUGAGUAACGUAUGAAAGUGAGAAUCUUUCAAGCCGAAUUGACUAAGGUUUCCAGGACAAGGGUCGUCCUUCCUGGGUUAGUCGGGUCCUAAGGCGAGGCCGAAAGGCGUAGUCGAUGGCAAGCAAGUUAAUAUUCUUGCACCAAAUAAUUGAAUGAUGGAGUAACGAAGAAGGUUAAUAUAAACCACUUAAUGGAUUGUGGUGAAAAUACUAAGUUGGAGAAAUGACUAAAUCCAUUUCUCAUUCCAAACAAUAAGGUAUGUGUACCAGUAAACGGGGUAACCUAAGUAGCAAAGUUAUAUAUAUCAUGCUUCCGAGAAAAACUCCUAGUGUUAAUCAAUUAUUUGCCCGUACUGAGAACGAACACACGUGGUCAAGGAGAGUAUCCUAAGGCUAGCGAGUUAACUAUUGUUAAGGAACUCUGCAAAUUUACCCUGUAAGUUAGCGAUAAAGGGAGCUUUUCGCAAGAAGAGCCGCAGUGAAUAGCGAGGGGGGACUGUUUACCAAAAACACAGCUUUAUGCAAAGUCGCAAGACGAUAUAUAUGAGGUGACACCUGCCCAGUGCUGGAAGGUUAAGGAAGUGAGUUAGCAGCAAUGCAAAGCUUGUGACCAAAGCCCCAGUGAACGGCGGCCGUAACUAUAACGGUCCUAAGGUAGCAAAAUUCCUUGUCGGGCAAAUUCCGUCCCGCUUGAAUGGUGUAACCAUCUCUUGACUGUCUCGACAAUAGACUCGGUGAAAUCCUGGUUGGGGUGAAGACGCCCCAUAGGCGUGAUUGGACGGAAAGACCCCAUGAAGCUUUACUGUAGCUUGAUAUUGAAAAAAUAUGUUAUUUUUAGAGCAUAGGUGGGAGACUUUGAAGCAUGGUCGCUAGAUCAUGUGGAGUCAACACUGUAAUACCACCAUUAUGAUAUCUUUUUUCUAACUUACGACCAUGAAACUGGUCAAAGGACAGUGUUAGGUGGGCAGUUUGACUGGGGCGGUCGCCUCCCAAAAGGUAACGGAGGCG